rnacentral:rRNA from 1 species
ACAUGCAAGUCGAACGGGAAUUGUGGGGCUUGCUCCGCAAUUCUAGUGGCGAACGGGUGAGUAACGCGUAGGCAAUCUUCCUUUCGGUUGGGGAUAAUCCCGGGAAACUGGGACUAAUACCGAAUACGCGUGCGCGGUCCUCGGACUGUGCACGGAAAGACAGCGUCUGCUUGCAGGCUGUCACCGAUAGAUGGGCCUGCGUCCUAUUAGCUAGUUGGUGAGGUAACGGCUCACCAAGGCGACGAUGGGUAGCCGACCUGAGAGGGUGCUCGGCCACACUGGGACUGAGACACGGCCCAGACUCCUACGGGAGGCAGCAGUGGGGAAUAUUGGGCAAUGGGCGCAAGCCUGACCCAGCGACGCCGCGUGAGCGAUGAAGGCCUUCGGGUUGUAAAGCUCUGUUGUAGGGAACGAACCGGCGGGAGAGGAAAUGCUCCCGCUCUGACGGUACCCUACGAGGAAGCCCCGGCUAACUCCGUGCCAGCAGCCGCGGUAAAACGGAGGGGGCGAGCGUUGUUCGGAAUUACUGGGCGUAAAGGGCGCGUACGCGGUCAGAUAAGUCGGGUGUGAAAUCCUCCAGCCCACUGGAGAACUGCGCCCGAAACUAUCUGUCUUGGGUACAGGAGAGGAGAGUGGAAUUCCCANGUGGUAGCGGUGAACAUGGGCGUAGACUAUUGGGAAGGAANNCACCGGUGGCGAAGGCGANUCUCUGG